AGAUGUGGACAUGUCAUGGCUGCCGUUAGGGAAUCCAUCUUCAUGAUAGCGGGCAGAAAUCCCAAGUCAAGGCCAGAAAGCAGUUCCCAUGUACUGAGCACCGUGGAGGCCUAUAACAUCCGGAGUCGCAAAUGGGAGAGCAUUGGGGAGGUACCUACAGCUGUACAUUCUGCUUCUUCCCUUGUCAUGGGGGAGAAGAUAUUUAUUUUUGGAGGAAUACAACAAGAUGGAACAUGGACCAGUGACAUUCAAGUCUUUGACACCAGGAAACGAGAAUCGUCCAUUAUUUCUCAGAUUCCUAGCAACAUCCCUCAACCUCUUAAAUUAGUAAAAUUAGGCAGUGAUUAUAUCAUUGUAUCUGACUGCCAGCUUUAUAGAGUAAACAUCAGGAAGAUAAAUGAAGAGAAGAUAAAAGUAGAAAUAAAAUCCCUUAAUCAAACCCUGUCUAAAACUUUACGUCCUGUCUUAGAAGUAGCAAACUACCGCGGGAAAUUGGCCGUUUUGACGAGCAGUACAAAGAAACCUGACGUUUAUUCUAAAAUGACGCUGGUUGACAUAAGUCAAUCACCAAUGACAGAGACAGCAGUCGGUAUUAGCUCCAAAAAUACCACUAUACCUAAACCAGUUCUUUCCUGUCAUAAAGGGAUUAUUGAUAAACAAUACAUGUACCACACUUACUAUCAAUAAAGUAGGUGUGUAGUUUUAACACAAUGGGGAUAGUCCUCGUAAAAGGAAGUUAUAUGAGUGGAAAAUUCCUGUUUUUGCUCAGAGUGCAGUUUAAAACAUUUUUGUUCCUAUUUACGUAUAAUAUAUGUAUCAGUAGGAUAAGAAACAAAUUUUAUAAAUGCAUCGAUCAAUAAUGAAUAAACUUGUACAGUGUAUUAACGAUUGCCAUUACUACUGCUGUUUUAUGACAUAACUGACACAAACUUAGUAAGUAAAUCAAUUGAUACUACAGUGUAUUCAUACUCAACUGUUACAUGUCAAUGCAUGUGUAUCAUAUAAUGUGCACCAGGUAACAAAUAUGAACUACUGCCACCUGCAAUACCUGCCCAGUUUGUAUACUAAUUGUGUAUAAGGAAGCAUAAUAAAGAAAAUACAUGU
rnacentral:misc_RNA from 1 species